UAAAAAAAAUACCUACCUUAAAUUGCUCCCAUAUACAUUGAAUACACUUUAUAUCGCACAGAUACAUGGUGUAUCCAAUAAAAAAAAUAUAAAGAUUUAUUCACUUUUCCUCCAUUCCAGUGCUUCCUGCCCGUCCUCCGUCUCUGAGCUGAGCUUCUUGCCGGCAUAGAAACGGAUGACAUUACGUCAGCUAGGGAGUUUCCACAGCCGCCGCAGCACAUGCGCUACGGUUGC